AUUGAACGCUGGCGGCAGGCCUAACACAUGCAAGUCGAGCGGAUGACGGGAGCUUGCUCCUUGAUUCAGCGGCGGACGGGUGAGUAAUGCCUAGGAAUCUGCCUGGUAGUGGGGGACAACGUUUCGAAAGGAACGCUAAUACCGCAUACGUCCUACGGGAGAAAGCAGGGGACCUUCGGGCCUUGCGCUAUCAGAUGAGCCUAGGUCGGAUUAGCUAGUUGGUGAGGUAAAGGCUCACCAAGGCGACGAUCCGCAACUGGUCUGAGAGGAUGAUCAGUCACACUGGAACUGAGACACGGUCCAGACUCCUACGGGAGGCAGCAGUGGGGAAUAUUGGACAAUGGGCGAAAGCCUGAUCCAGCCAUGCCGCGUGUGUGAAGAAGGUCUUCGGAUUGUAAAGCACUUUAAGUUGGGAAGAAGGGCAGUAAGUUAAUACCUUGCUGCUUUGACGUUACCGACAGAAUAAGCACCGGCUAACUUCGUGCCAGCAGCCGCAGUAAAAC
rnacentral:rRNA from 1 species